CCAGACUCCUACGGGAGGCAGCAGUAGGGAAUCUUCGGCAAUGGGGGGAACCCUGACCGAGCAACGCCGCGUGAGUGAAGAAGGUUUUCGGAUCGUAAAGCUCUGUUGUUAAGGAAGAACGAGUGUGAGAAUGGAAAGUUCAUACUGUGACGGUACUUAACCAGAAAGGGACGGCUAACUACGUGCCAGCAGCCGCGGUAAUACGUAGGUCCCGAGCGUUGUCCGGAUUUAUUGGGCGUAAAGCGAGCGCAGGCGGUUAGAUAAGUCUGAAGUUAAAGGCAGUGGCUCAACCAUUGUAGGCUUUGGAAACUGUUUAACUUGAGUGCAGAAGGGGAGAGUGGAAUUCCAUGUGUAGCGGUGAAAUGCGUAGAUAUAUGGAGGAACACCGGUGGCGAAAGCGGCUCUCUGGUCUGUAACUGACGCUGAGGCUCGAAAGCGUGGGGAGCGAACAGGAUUAGAUACCCUGGUAGUCCACGCCGUAAACGAUGAGUGCUAGGUGUUAGGUCCUUUCCGGGACUUAGUGCCGCAGCUAACGCAUUAAGCACUCCGCCUGGGGAGUACGACCGCAAGGUUGAAACUCAAAGGAAUUGACGGGGCCCGCACAAG
rnacentral:rRNA from 1 species